AUUGAACGCUGGCGGCAGGCCUAAAACAUGCAAGUCGAACGAGUGGCGGACGGGUGAGUAAUGUCUGGGAAACUGCCCGAUGGAGGGGGAUAACUACUGGAAACGGUAGCUAAUACCGCAUACCAUCAGAUGUACCCAGAUGGGAUUAGCUAGUAGGUGGGGUAAUGGCUAACCUAGGCGACGAUCCCUAGCUGGUCUGAGAGGAUGACCAUCCACACUGGAACUGAGACACGGUCCAGAGUCCUACGGGAGGCAGCAGUGGGGAAUAUUGCACAAUGGGCGCAAGCCUGAUACAGCCAUGCCGCGUGUAUGAAGAAGGCCUUCGGGUUGUAAAGUACUUUCAGUGGGGAGGCGUUACCCGCAGAAGAAGCACCGGCUAACUCCGUGCCAGCAGUCGCGGUAAUUC
rnacentral:rRNA from 1 species